GAUGAACGCUCGCGAUAGGCUUAACACAUGCAAGUCGAGGGGCAGCAUGGUCUUAGCUUGCUAAGACUGAUGGCGACCGGCGCACGGGUGCGUAACGCGUAUGCAACUUGCCUCACAGAGGGGGAUAACCCGUCGAAAGACGGACUAAUACCGCGUACACUUGGGAUAGGGCAUCCUGACCCAAGGAAAUGAAAUUCGCUGUGAGAUAGGGAUGCGUUCCAUUAGCUAGUUGGUGAGGUGACGGCCCAGCAAGGAGACGCUGGGUAGGGGAACUGAGAGGUUGAAACCCCAGACUGGUACUGAGGCACGGACCAGACUGGUACGGGACGGAGGAGUAAGUAAGACUAGGGAAGGAGCGAGAGCCUGAACCAGCCAAGUCGCGUGAAGAGGGACUGUCUUAUGGAUUGUAAACUUCUUUUAUAGAAGAAUAACAAGAGAAACGCGUGGCUCCCUGCAGGUACCGAAUGAAUAAGCAUCGGCUAACUUCGUG
rnacentral:rRNA from 1 species